UACGUAGGGCGCAAGCGUUAUCCGGAAUUAUUGGGCGUAAAGAGCUCGUAGGCGGUUUGUCGCGUCUGCCGUGAAAGUCCGGGGCUCAACUCCGGAUCUGCGGUGGGUACGGGCAGACUAGAGUGAUGUAGGGGAGACUGGAAUUCCUGGUGUAGCGGUGAAAUGCGCAGAUAUCUGGAGGAACACCGGUGGCGAAGGCGGCAUCCUGGACCGACACUGACACUGAGGAGCGAAAGCCAGGGGAGCAAACGGG
rnacentral:rRNA from 1 species